rnacentral:rRNA from 1 species
GAUGAACGCUGGCGGCGUGCCUAAUACAUGCAAGUCGAGCGGCAGCACGGUCUUCGGACUGGUGGCGAGCGGCGGACGGCUGAGUAACGCGUAGGAAUAUACCCCAAAGUGAGGGAUAACUGCCCGAAAGGGUGGCUAAUACCGCAUGUGGUCUUCGGACUAAAGCCUUCGGGCGCUUUGGGAAUAGCCUGCGUAAGAUUAGCUAGUUGGUGAGGUAAUGGCUCACCAAGGCGACGAUCUUUAGCUGGUCUGAGAGGAUGACCAGCCAGACUGGAACUGAGACACGGUCCAGACUCCUACGGGAGGCAGCAGUAGGGAAUUUUCCACAAUGGGCGAAAGCCUGAUGGAGCAACGCCGCGUGCAGGAUGAAGGCCCUCGGGUCGUGAACUGCUUUUAUGUGCGAAGAAUAUGACGGUAACACAUGAAUAAGGGUCGGCUAACUACGUGCCAGCAGCCGCGGUAAU